UGGUGGAGUGAUUUGUCUGGUUAAUUCCGUUAACGAACGAGACCACAGCCUGCUAAAUAGUCACGCUAUGCCUUUGGGCAACCGAUGGCAUGGCGGCGGAACUUCUUAGAGGGACUAUCGGCUUUCAGCCGGUGGAAGUUUGUGGCAAUAACA
rnacentral:rRNA from 1 species